UACGUAGGGUCCAAGCGUUAUCCAGAAUCACUGGGCGUAAAGCGUGCGUAGGUGGCGUGUUAAGUGUGAUGUUAAAUCGUGUGGCUCAACCAUAUCGAUGUGUCGCAUACUGGCAUGCUAGAGGACAGCAGAGGCAAGUGGAAUUUGUAGUGUAGCAGUGAAAUGCGUAGAUAUUACAAGGAACACCAAUGGCGAAGGCAGCUUGCUGGGCUACUCCUGACACUGAGGUACGAAAGCGUGGGGAGCGAACAGG
rnacentral:rRNA from 1 species